GCUUAAAUUACGUGAGUGAUAUUCUGAACAUAGCUAUCCAACCGUGUUACAAGCAGCUGGUCAAGUUGCAAGUUAAGAUAAGAGGAGCAGAUAACUCACCCAGAGGUCAGACAGAGUGGGGGUGCAAGAGGCGGCCGAAUUGACAUUAGCUCCCCCGUACUGUGUUAGAGCAUCAUUCAGACUGGACUGUACUGAAGUUGUGUUGCAGACCUGCAGUUGCUGACAUGCUUAUAAUUAUUCCAUAACAACUACCAGGGUGGUCAGUUUGAGAGUAUAAUGUCAGCUCUACCAUGUGGAGCCCCACCCCCACCACCACCCCCUCCAAACAUGGCUCCCCUGAAAGGCCUCAGUUUAAAAAACAUAGUUGGAGCAGUAUUGAUGAUAGCACAGGAACCUACUGGUACCAGCCAGGAACAAUUCAGACGAAAACUCAAAGUAAUCAUAGAGAAAGACAUUCCUGAACUGUCCUCCAAAGUCCUGCUAUCAUCCAACUUCCCUGUCUGUCCAAUAAUGCAAGAUGGACCAUGGUAAAUAUAUAUGUUUGAGUGCAUUUAUUUUGAUGAUGUACAGCAAGUUUAAAAUGCUGAUAUUUAUACUCAAGAGUUUAGCUCAAAAGCUUAAUAUGUACAUGCAUGUCUAACUAAAUGUUACAAGAUGAUUAAGAGAAAUAAUGACGUACCAGACUGGUUUCAAACCGGGGCCCCCUGAAUUUCUAGUCAGAUGCUUCUCACUGAGCUAUCUGCUGGCUCUGUUAUUUGAAUCAGUCUGUCUGCUUAUCUCCCCUUCCCCCAAUGAUCUUUACACACAAAGAUAACCAUCUUUAGGCUCUUUCCUGUCACAGAAGUAAACCUGUCAAUUCCAGAAGUUGGCAUGGCACCAAAUGAAUUAGGUUGGGAGAAUUACUGUAUACAGGGAAAUAUUUGCCCUUGUUUUAUUUUCGCCCUCGUUGUUAGCGGAUGAAUUUAAAACUCGGCGAAUUCCGGUGUAAGGUUGUUAGGCCCAAGGAAAAUUUUAUUGGCUUUUGUUAAUUUCAAUAUCUAUUCAUCAGCUGUGGAAUUGUUGCUCUUGCAAUGGCCGCCCAGAUGUUGAGCAAAGAAACAACAGCCUCUCAUGUUUUAAAGACUAGUCAAAACUUAGGAUUUUCUCUGCAAGGAGAGCUCUUCUCUGCUUACAAUUUGGCUAAGCUGGCAGAGGAAACAUUGAAGUGUACAUCAGAGGUACUUGAUAUGAGGGACUCAGAAUCCAAGAGAAGUCUCCUACGACAUCUUGCCAACAGCCAUCCUGUGCUUGUGCCGUAUCCUUUUUGUAGACAUCAUUGGUUGAUUCCUACCUGUUUAGUUAUUACUACUGAUGAAAUACAUGGAAAGUGGGGGGGGGCUGUCCGAGAGAAUAUAUUAUAUUUGCUGGGCCUGAAAUGCACAUGCAACAGUACUUAAGUAGUAUGUGCAUUGUGCCAUUAUAAGAGUAUUUUCCGUAUUGCGCAAAAAAAAAAAAUCAAAUCAAAUGAAAUGAUAAUGAUCAUGGACUGCAUGAAGCUAUAUGAUCUUGUGUAUUGGAUUGUUAUUUGUUAUUAACUGAUAAAAAGAUAUGAUGGAGAUGGGAAUAAUGCCCCAUGUUUGAAGAAUGGCCACAAAGCCCACUGGGCUCUUCUGACAGGAUUUCUUGCAUCUUUACCAAAGCCUUUAGAAAUAAACAACAGUCUAGAUAUAACAGAAGACACUGAACUCUGUCCCUUGUACCAUAUCAAGUCAAAGAAGUCUGUUCCACUCCACGAUCAAAUUGUUGGAUCUCCUGAUGUUUUUGUUUACGGUAUUCAGGGCAAGAGUCGAAAUGUUAGCUUGUGGCCUCUCCAUAAUUUGCUGGCCAGCAAUGCAAACUUAAGGGAGGUGGAUCCAAACAGAGAAGCUGAGACUGAUCAAUACCUCAUACCUCAGGAGGGUAUCCAAAGUGUGUUGUGCAAUAAAAUUGUCAUUUUACAUAGCUGAAAAAAAAUUUGGAGUUAUUUUCGUUAAUUUUUUUUUAUUGGCUGUGUUGAUGAGCUUUAAUUAUAACUUUUUUUUAUUUACUCCAUGAUAGUCUCAUUUUAUGAACAGAUGCCAAGUUGUGCAAUACUAUGUGACAGCAGAACAAAAACCAAUGUAUAUUAACAGUGUGAUUUUUGUGAGUUUACAUAUGUUUAUAUUUACUUGCUAGUCCCCAUGCUUUUUGGUUAUGAAUAUUUUGGAAAGUUUUACAAUAUUAAAUAAAUGUGUAUGAACAC
rnacentral:misc_RNA from 1 species